rnacentral:rRNA from 1 species
AUUGAACGCUGGCGGCAUGCUUUACACAUGCAAGUCGAACGGUAACAGGCCGCAAGGUGCUGACGAGUGGCGCACGGGUGCGUAAUGCAUCGGAACGUGCCCAGUCGUGGGGGAUAACUACUCGAAAGAGUAGCUAAUACCGCAUACGAUCUAUGGAUGAAAGCGGGGGACCGUAAGGCCUCGCGCGAUUGGAGCGGCCGAUGUCAGAUUAGGUAGUUGGUGGGGUAAAGGCUCACCAAGCCAACGAUCUGUAGCUGGUCUGAGAGGACGACCAGCCACACUGGGACUGAGACACGGCCCAGACUCCUACGGGAGGCAGCAGUGGGGAAUGUUGGACAAUGGGCGCAAGCCUGAUCCAGCAAUGCCGCGUGCAGGAAGAAGGCCUUCGGGUUGUAAACUGCUUUUGUACGGAACGAAACGGCUCUGGUUAAUACCCGGGGCUAAUGACGGUACCGUAAGAAUAAGCACCGGCUAACUACGUG